UUGAAUAGUUAAUUUCAAUUGUUUUUAGCUGGACCACAUAUUUACAUCCAUCUUUAAGAUGGAUGCUUUAUACUUCUGGAUUGCAUAUGUGGAAAUGCGGUCCAGCCUGCAUGAAACAAUUUUCCAAUACUCAAGCACCCAAUGAAACCAAACCUUGUUUUCCUCCAAAACUCUCUCUUCCUCUGAUGAGGUGGGGAUUCUGGAUUGGGGGUUUCUCUUCGAGGGAGAGUUACUCACAAGAAUGCCUUGGAAACUCCAUCUUAGAUCACAUAAAAUUUGUUCUUCUUCCAUGGAUUAUACACUAAAAACCCUAGACGCUAAUUAUGAACGGUAGGAACGAUCCUUGUCAACCCCAAAUACUUUCUCAAACGAGCAUCAGACCUGUAGGAGACAAAAACAAUACAGAUUUGCUGUUUUAGAGCUCUAGAGAGAGAAAGUAGGACAAUUUCAAUGCAUAACUGGAGAGAAACUAUUUAUGAAUUUUAUUUGAUUUUUUUUAAUUGUUAUUAACUAAAACUUUCAUUGGAUAAAGGAAUAGAGCUCCGAAGUUAUAGAAAAAAUUACAAAAGAAGAAAUAGAAGAAUACAAACAAUAUUCUCUACUUCCUGGGGUGUACCAUCUCAACUGUGAAAUACAUCGUAAUUUUAACCUUAAUUGAUCCGACACCACAAACAAACUGCUUAAAGGCCCAACUAAACCACACCAAAAGACUAUCAAAGACAACCACCACAAACCUCUAUCUACUACCCACCCAAACUUAUCUAUUAUAUAC
rnacentral:lncRNA from 1 species